rnacentral:pre_miRNA from 1 species
GAGACACCUUAUGGGACAAGACUUGCUUCAGUGAGCUUUGGUGCUCACUGAGUCUGCCCUCUGAGUGUGUCUCU